rnacentral:lncRNA from 1 species
CAAGGGCCGCGGGGCCCAAAACAGUGUUUCAGCGGACGCGCCCAGCCAACCCAGCGCAGCGGCGGCGGCGGAAGGGGCGGGCCCCUACGCGGAAGUGACGUGGCGCCGGCUUUUGGCCCUGAAGGGAGGUGUAGCCGGUCGGUGGAGAGAGGCAGUGGUGGCGGAAGAGGUUCGGCGGCUGAUGGUCGCUCAGGCUCGGAAGCCUCUCUGACGCUCCCGCUCUGUCCGGGAGCCUCUCACUGGACAAACCUUUCCUCCCGGACUGCGAUUGUGACGGGGGCGUGGGUGACCUCGGUUAGCAGUGGAGUUGGAAAAAGCGACGGGUGCCCGUCCCCCAUGGCCGGGAGGCCCCGGGAUAUAGGCCUUUCCGAUUUGGGAGGUGCGUGGAACGUGGUCCCUUUGGCGGGGGGCGAGGGACGCGGGUGACCCCCGAGGAAGAAACUCUCUUGCCCAAGGCUCAGCUCUAGGGUGAGCGUUUUGCGGUCGCCGGGUUUGCGGCCGGCGUAGGUGAGCUUGGGAAAACAUCUGGACCGAGUCCGGAAAGGACGCUCGGGUUUUCGGUGCGGAGUGAAACCCAAGUGUUUUGGUUUGAGUCGCCCUGGAGGCGGAGGAGGAGGCGGAGACUCCCUGCGCCGCCUCCGUUGGGGGCCGCGGGCGGAGUUAGCUCUUCUGGCCUGAUCUGCGACUUCGCCUGGGCUGCGCACUUAGUGACCGCUCUUCUUCGUCAGUGUAUGAGUGGCCCCUCCGCCUGGUGCUCGAAGGGACCUUAAAAAAUCUUUCCAGGAGCGUCACAUCUUUUUUUGCUUAGGCGACUUUUCUUGAUUCCACAACUCUUUCUCCCCAUCGCCCAACACCCCGCAGGUCCGCGGGUUGUUGGACAAGUCCCGACAGGCGCGACAUGCGCUCGUCGCUUCGGGGAAUCUUUGUUAGGGAUUAGGGUGUGUGUGUGUGUGUGUGUGUAUAUGUAUGUAUGUGUAUAUGUGUAGAAAACUAUUGAUAAAUAUGUAUUGCCAUAUUGGUAAUAGUUUUGUUUGAAAACACUGGCAUUUGACUUUCUACAUAUACUAAGUUUUAGGUUUCACAAAGUAGUUAUGAAUUGCUGUUGUGUCAGGGAUUCAGAUGGGAAAAUACAUCUUAAUUUUUCAACUCUCUGCAUUGCACUGAUUGCAAAAUUUCUACGAACUGUGCACGAACAAUCGCUAAUUAUAAUUCUGGUGCUCGAUUCCAAAAGCAUUUAAAGAGGUUUUUUGAGUAACUUGUUAAUCUCAAAGUGGGCUGAUUGCCCUCGAAGUGCUGUUCGGGUAUGGAGAAGGGGCGGAGGCCAGGCCUUCGUUCUGUUCUUGUCGCUGGUAGACGUGAUUUCUUGAAGGAUUGCUUGAUUAUGUUAGAAAUGACUUACUAGGUUUUUCUUUUUUGCAAGUUCAAAGAACAUCCUAUUGUAGUUUUUAUUUUCUAGUCAUCAUAUUCUUAAAUUGCACACCUCUGUUUACAAUUAUGGCUGAGCCAUUUGUUUUUAGACUUAACCAGUAAAUAUCUUUUCCUUAACAAAGUGAUAGGUGUUUUGGAAUUCUAAGUUUCACCCUUUUUAAUGGUGUUAAAUAUUUAUGAAAGAUCCUAACGAUGGUCCUUUUCUACCUCUUUGGGGGAAUUAUCUCACAUGGGAAGUUUAUUGGCUUGUAUUCUUUUGGAAUUUGGAUAUUACUGAGUAAAACUUUGGCUGUAUGCACUUCUGGCUUUUUAAAGUUUAUUUUGCUCCAAAUAAACCCUUAGAAGAAGAUAAAAAUUCCCUCCCC